UACGUAGGGUGCGAGCGUUGUCCGGAAUUAUUGGGCGUAAAGAGCUUGUAGGCGGUUUGUCGCGUCUGCUGUGAAAAUCCGGGGCUCAACCUCGGGCUUGCAGUGGGUACGGGCAGACUAGAGUGCGGUAGGGGAGACUGGAAUUCCUGGUGUAGCGGUGGAAUGCGCAGAUAUCAGGAGGAACACCGAUGGCGAAGGCAGGUCUCUGGGCCGCAACUGACGCUGAGGAGCGAAAGCAUGGGGAGCGAACAGG
rnacentral:rRNA from 1 species